CUCAGGAUGAACGCUAGCGACAGGCUUAACACAUGCAAGUCGAGGGGCAGCGGGGAGUAGCAAUACUUCGCCGGCGACCGGCGCACGGGUGAGUAACACGUGUGCAACCAACCCCGUACCGGGAGAUAACCCGCGGAAACGUGGACUAACAUCCCAUGAUACUCGAGAGCCGCAUGGCUCUAGAUUUAAAAUUCCGGUGGUACGGGACGGGCACGCGCGACAUUAGGUAGUUGGCGGGGUAAGGGCCCACCAAGCCGACGAUGUCUAGGGGUUCUGAGAGGAAGGUCCCCCACACUGGAACUGAGACACGGUCCAGACUCCUACGGGAGGCAGCAGUGAGGAAUAUUGGUCAAUGGGCGAGAGCCUGAACCAGCCAAGUCGCGUGAGGGACGAAUGGUCUAUGGCCUGUAAACCUCUUUUGUCAAGGAAGAAUAAAUCGCACGGGUGCGAUCUUGCCAGUACUUGACGAAUAAGCAUCGGCUAACUCCGUGCCAGCAGCCGCGGUAAUACGGGGGAUGCGAGCGUUAUCCGGAUUUAUUGGGUUUAAAGGGCGCGUAGGCGGGACGUCAAGUCAGCGGUAAAAGACUGCAGCUAAACUGUAGCACGCCGUUGAAACUGGCGCCCUCGAGACGAGACGAGGGAGGCGGAACAAGUGAAGUAGCGGUGAAAUGCAUAGAUAUCACUUGGAACCCCGAUAGCGAAGGCAGCUUCCCAGGCUCGAUCUGACGCUGAUGCGCGAGAGCGUGGGUAGCGAACAGGAUUAGAUACCCUGGUAGUCCACGCCGUAAACGAUGCUCACUGGAUCUUGGCGAUACACGGCCAGGGUUCAAGCGAAAGUAUUAAGUGAGCCACCUGGGGAGUACGUCGGCAACGAUGAAACUCAAAGGAAUUGACGGGGGCCCGCACAAGCGGAGGAACAUGUG
rnacentral:rRNA from 1 species